rnacentral:rRNA from 1 species
AUGAACGCUGGCGGCAGGCCUAACACAUGCAAGUCGAACGGGUGCCUUCGGGUGCUAGUGGCGGACGGGUGAGUAACGCGUGGGAACAUACUCUUUGGUACGGAUUAGCCUCGGGAAACUGAGCGUAAUACCGUAUGUGCCCUUCGGGGGAAAGAUUUAUCGCCAAAGGAUUGGCCCGCGUUGGAUUAGGUAGUUGGUGGGGUAAUGGCCUACCAAGCCGACGAUCCAUAGCUGGUUUGAGAGGAUGAUCAGCCACACUGGGACUGAGACACGGCCCAGACUCCUACGGGAGGCAGCAGUGGGGAAUCUUAGACAAUGGGGGAAACCCUGAUCUAGCCAUGCCGCGUGAUCGAUGAAGGCCUUAGGGUUGUAAAGAUCUUUCAGAUGGGAAGAUAAUGACGGUACCAUCAGAGGAAGCCCCGGCUAACUCCGU